AGUGAACGCUGGCGGUAGGCCUAACACACGCAAGUCGAACGGCAGCACAGUAAGAGUUUGCUCUUACGGGUGGCGAGUGGCGGACGGGUGAGGAAUACAUCGGAAUCUACUUUUUCGUGGGGGAUAACGUAGGGAAACUUACGCUAAUACCGCAUACGACCUACGGGUGAAAGCAGGGGAUCUUCGGACCUUGCGCGAUUGAAUGAGCCGAUGUCGGAUUAGCUAGUUGGCGGGGUAAAGGCCCACCAAGGCGACGAUCCGUAGCUGGUCUGAGAGGAUGAUCAGCCACACUGGAACUGAGACACGGUCCAGACUCCUACGGGAGGCAGCAGUGGGGAAUAUUGGACAAUGGGCGCAAGCCUGAUCCAGCCAUACCGCGUGGGUGAAGAAGGCCUUCGGGUUGUAAAGCCCUUUUGUUGGGAAAGAAAAGCAGCAGGUUAAUACCCCGCUGUUCUGACGGUACCCAAAGAAUAAGCACCGGCUAACUUCGUG
rnacentral:rRNA from 1 species